CGAUACGACCCAAGACCCCCUGUGAGCGUGCUAGAGAUGAUGUGAUAAAUGGCCUAAUUGAAGCCUUCAUCCCCACGUGUGACGCCGCUGGACAAUACACCCCUGAGCAAUGUUCCGGCUCUAAAGGUCAAUGUUGGUGUGUGAACAGUUCUGGACGGAAGAUCCCGGGUACUGAGACUCGACCAGGCACUGCUAGAAUCAACUGUGCCACCAAGUAUGGUACGAUACGACCCAAGACCCCCUGUGAAGGUGCUAGAGAUGCCGCGACACAUGGCCUAAUUGCAGCCUUCAUCCCCACAUGUGACGCAGCUGGACAAUACACCCCUGAGCAAUGUUCCGGCUCUAAAGGUCAAUGUUGGUGUGUGAACAGUUCUGGACGGAAGAUCCCGGGUACUGAGACUCGACCAGGCACUGCUAGAAUCAACUGUUCCA